rnacentral:rRNA from 1 species
GACGAACGCUGGCGGCGUGCUUAACACAUGCAAGUCGAACGAAAAGACGGAAAGAGCUUGCUCUUUUCAGAAUUGAGUGGCAAACGGGUGAGUAACACGUAAACAACCUGCCUUCAGGAUGGGGACAACAGACGGAAACGACUGCUAAUACCGAAUAAGUUCCAAGAGCCGCAUGGCCCAUGGAAGAAAAGGUGGCCUCUACCUGUAAGCUAUCGCCUGAAGAGGGGUUUGCGUCUGAUUAGCUGGUUGGAGGGGUAACGGCCCACCAAGGCGACGAUCAGUAGCCGGUCUGAGAGGAUGAACGGCCACACUGGAACUGAGACACGGUCCAGACUCCUACGGGAGGCAGCAGUGGGGAAUCUUCCGCAAUGGGCGAAAGCCUGACGGAGCAACGCCGCGUGAGUGAUGACGGCCUUCGGGUUGUAAAACUCUGUGAUCCGGGACGAAAAGGCAGAGUGCGAAGAACAAACUGCAUUGACGGUACCGGAAAAGCAAGCCACGGCUAACUAC